GAUGAACGCUGGCGGCGUGCCUAAUACAUGCAAGUCGAGCGAACAGAUGAGGAGCUUGCUCCUCUGACGUUAGCGGCGGACGGGUGAGUAACACGUGGAUAACCUACCUAUAAGACUGGGAUAACUUCGGGAAACCGGAGCUAAUACCGGAUAAUAUAUUGAACCGCAUGGUUCAAUAGUGAAAGGCGGUUUUGCUGUCACUUAUAGAUGGAUCCGCGCCGCAUUAGCUAGUUGGUAAGGUAACGGCUUACCAAGGCAACGAUGCGUAGCCGACCUGAGAGGGUGAUCGGCCACACUGGAACUGAGACACGGUCCAGACUCCUACGGGAGGCAGCAGUAGGGAAUCUUCCGCAAUGGGCGAAAGCCUGACGGAGCAACGCCGCGUGAGUGAUGAAGGUCUUCGGAUCGUAAAACUCUGUUAUCAGGGAAGAACAAAUGUGUAAGUAACUAUGCACGUCUUGACGGUACCUAAUCAGAAAGCCACGGCUAACUACGUG
rnacentral:rRNA from 1 species